GGGCGUGUGGCUCAGUUGGUAGAGCGUUCGCUUAGCAAUCCACUCACCUAGUAUCAUCCUCUGGAUCCUCCUGGGCCUCAGUCUACAUUGCGAAAGGUCCUGGGUUCGAUUCCCAGCCCGUCCA